GAAGGCGCCGGCCUGAGAGCCUGAGGGGAGUCGCCAAGCGUGCGGCGCUAGGCUCGGGCUUCCCGCUCAAACGAGUUCAGGCUGCACCCUGUGGGGCUUUGCCUUCAAUCGCUCUCUGUGACCGUUGUGUUUUCUAUCCCACAGUCAGAGCACAGGAACAGUUUUCUUCAGGCUUUUGAAAGAGGUUUAUGAACGAAGCACCUGAUUUCCACCUAUAAUACUGUAAUUCAAUAACUUGUGUGAUAUAUGAAAAAUCCUGAAGUUCAUCACACUGUAACUGAAUUGCCAUUCCCACAACACUCCAGAGAGGUCUCUUGCCCUCUUUUUGCCAUGUGAGGAUACAAGAAGAUGGCAGUCUGCAACCAAGACGGCUCUCACCAGAACCCAACCAUGCUGGUAAUCUGAUCUCAGACUUCCAGCUCCAGAGCUGUAAGAAAUAAAUUUCUGUCACUUAUAAGCC
rnacentral:antisense_RNA from 1 species